rnacentral:misc_RNA from 1 species
AAAACAAUCUUACAGGUUCAAUCCCUACCUCCAUAACAAACUUGGAAAAUCUAUCCAUUCUCUACUUGUGGGGUAAUAAACUCUCUGGUUCCAUACCUGUAGAGAUUGGGUUCUUAGAAUUUUUAAAAAAACUUGAUCUAUCAAGUAACGGUUUAACUGGUGCAAUCCCUUCUUCUAUUGGACACUUAAGAAAUUUAUCAAUUCUUGCACUUUUUGACAACAAACUCUCAGGUUCAAUCCCUACUUCCAUAACAAACUUGGAGAAUCUAUCCAUUCUUCGGUUGUUUUCUAACCAGCUCAAAGGUUCCCUACCUUUGGGAUUCAAUAAUCUUACUCGUUUGAAGUCACUGCAUUUGUAUGGGAAUGGAUUCACUGGUCAUUUGCCAGAAAAUGUAUGCCUUGGAGGGUUGCUUGAAAAUUUCACUGCUGGCUGUAAUCAUUUCUCAGGUUCGAUCCCCAAAACCUUGAGAAAUUGUACUAGCUUAUUUAGACUUAGACUUGAUUGGAAUCAAUUAACAGGGAACAUUUCAGAAGAUUUAGGGAUAUACCCGCAUUUGAAUUUCAUUGAUUUGAGUAACAAUAGAUUUCAUGGAGAGCUUUCAUGGAAAUUGGGGAAGUGGAAAAACAUCACGACAUUAAAAUUUUCAAACAACAACAUCUCUGGCAGCAUACCACCCGAGCUGGGAAAUGCUACUCAAUUACAUCUUAUUGACCUUUCCUGGAAUCAUUUGCAAGGGCAAAUUCCUAAAGAAUUGGCAAAGUUGAAGCUGUUGUUCAAAAUUUGUCUUAAUAACAACAAUCUUUUUGGCCUUGUCCCUUUAGAUUUGAAGGUGCUAUUUAAUCUGGAUGAACUUAAUUUAGCAGCAAAUAAUCUAAGUGGUUCAAUUCCUGGACAACUUGGAGAACUUCCACAUUUAUUGGUCUUGAAUUUGAGUGGAAAUGAAUUUACAGGAAGUAUUCCGUUUGAGUUAGGGAAUCUACAUUUUCUAGAAGUUCUUGAUCUUAGUCAAAAUUUGUUAACAGGAGAGAUCCCGCCACAACUGGGAGGGUUGCAAAGAUUGGAGACACUGAACCUCUCCCACAAUUUACUGUCAGGUUCCAUUCCAACUACUUUUGAUUAUUUAUCGAGCCUGAGUGUUGUAAAUAUAUCCUAUAAUAAGUUAGAGGGCCCAAUUCCCCACAAUAAGGCCUUUCAACAGGCUCCAUUUGAAGCACUUCAAAACAACAGACACCUGUGUGGCAAUAACACUGGACUAGAGGCUUGUGCCUUAGUUGCAAUCAACAAAGCUAUCAGAGAAAAAGAUAGUAAACCGGUUGCUGUUGUUGUCAUUACCAUCGUGUGUAGUCUGUUUCUAUUUAUUGUCUUGGUUGGGGGUUUCUUUCUUGUCCGCCAAAGAAUCAGAAACAGAAAAGCUAAGUCAGACGAAGGGCCGAGUGGUGAAGAUAUUUAUGCAAUGUGGGGUCGUGAUAAGGAUAUGCAAUAUGAAAACAUUGUUAAGGCUACAGAGGAGUUCAACCCCAAGUAUUGCAUUGGGGAAGGAGGAUAUGGAAUCAUCUACAAAGCUGUUCUGCCAACUGGUCGAGUGGUUGCUGUAAAGAAACUUCACCAGUCACCAAAUGGAGAGAUGACUGAUUUCAAAGCGUUUAAAAGUGAUAUUUGUGCAUUGAUAAACAUUCGUGAUCGAAAUAUUGUGAAGUUAUAUGGUUUU